AGGUUGCUUCGGUAACUGACCUAGCGGCGGACGGGUGAGUAAUGCUUAGGAAUCUGCCUAUUAGUGGGGGACAACAUUCCGAAAGGAAUGCUAAUACCGCAUACGUCCUACGGGGGAAAGCAGGGGAUCUUCGGACCUUGCGCUAAUAGAUGAGCCUAAGUCGGAUUAGCUAGUUGGUGGGGUAAAGGCCUACCAAGGCGACGAUCUGUAGCGGGUCUGAGAGGAUGAUCCGCCACACUGGGACUGAGACACGGCCCAGACUCCUACGGGAGGCAGCAGUGGGGAAUAUUGGACAAUGGGCGGAAGCCUGAUCCAGCCAUGCCGCGUGUGUGAAGAAGGCCUUUUGGUUGUAAAGCACUUUAAGCGAGGAGGAGGCUCCUUUAGUUAAUACCUAAAGUGAGUGGACGUUACUCGCAGAAUAAGCACCGGCUAACUCUGUGCCAGCAGCCGCGGUAAUACAGAGGGUGCGAGCGUUAAUCGGAUUUACUGGGCGUAAAGCGUGCGUAGGCGGCUUUUUAAGUCGGAUGUGAAAUCCCUGAGCUUAACUUAGGAAUUGCAUUCGAUACUGGAAAGCUAGAGUAUGGGAGAGGAUGGUAGAAUUCCAGGUGUAGCGGUGAAAUGCGUAGAGAUCUGGAGGAAUACCGAUGGCGAAGGCAGCCAUCUGGCCUAAUACUGACGCUGAGGUACGAAAGCAUGGGGAGCAAACAGGAUUAGAUACCCUGGUAGUCCAUGCCGUAAACGAUGUCUACUAGCCGUUGGGGCCUUUGAGGCUUUAGUGGCGCAGCU
rnacentral:rRNA from 1 species